GGUGGAGUGGGUGAGUGGCUGAAACCACCAGUUUGCUAAACUGACGUACGGGUAACUGUACCGAGGGUUCGAAUCCCUCCUUCACCG
rnacentral:tRNA from 1 species